AGAGAGAGAGAGAAGAAGAAAAACAAAUAAAGAGGGAAGAAAGAUGGCGAACUCGCUGGAGUCUACAUUUACUUUUCUUUGGAAAAAAUUGAAGGCUAGCAAGCGAGAUAUGGCGCUCGGUCGAUGGCAGGUGGACUGGCAUGGAAUCGAUAUUUGAAUGCAAGAUGAAAAAGAAAAGAAAAGGAAAAAAAGAGAAAAGGAAAGGAAGAAAAAGGAUGGAAAGAAAAUAAAAAGGGAGAAAAAAAACCGGUCAACGUCCGUCUUUCGAGCAACGAGAUUGGACUCAUUUGAAAAUUGUCGCAGAACAGGAAGAGGAUAACUCGCUACGGAACCGGAAGUUGUCGCCGGCCUCGUUACUGGGAAACUUGAAAAAUAUUGUAGAUCAUGAAUUCCCUGGGAACCACCGAUCCGACCUACGCGCCUUCACACGCGCGCUCGUGCGUGCGUGACACGCGAACGGCCAUGACUAGCCCCCCCCUUCCACCCCCUCCUCCCCAAGAGAAAGACCCGAUUUUUAGCCACCAGACACGGACUUGAUCGACAUCCAGAAUCGUAGGCGUUAUUGGACGUCAUCGAGUGCCACGUGUCCUUGAGAAAUUGGAAGAUUCCUUUAAGGAAGAUUCGACGUAUUAUUAUAAUCGAUAGUUACUGUUAAUCACCUACGUAUUAUCUAUCUUUCUCUCUCUCUCUCUCUCUUUCAAUUUUUUUUUUUUUUUUUUUUUUUUUUUUUUAAAUAAUCAAAUGUGAUACCGAAUACGUCAUCGAUACUGUCCCACGCGUAUCAUAUAUCCGAACAAGAUGGAAACGAGAGAAGAUUCUUCCUUGCAUCUUCCGUCUCGUUUGACGAACACGAAGAUACACAACGAUAUUCGAGGACAUAAGCGAUGUUUACUCGUUGGACUACUUUUGUCCAUUUGCUACUACGAGAACGUUUUCUACUAUGAACGCUUGUACCAUCUUUGGAAAUCAUUAAUCUUUAACAACCCGAUACGAUGUUCGUUGUAAAGUAUAAAUAUUGUGAAGAUAAAUAAGAAGCCAACUUUAUUCAGCCGAAUAUUUUUACCGAAUUAUUAAAGAGAAAAUGAAAAAAGAGAAAAAAAACACACACGCGCAUGCACGCGCACACACACACACACACAGAGAGAGACACGCACGCAAGCACGUGCACAAAAGACAAGGAAAAAAAAAACGAAUAAGCAUGAAAAACAAAACAAGAAAAGAAAAAAAAUUAUGAGUCUCUCUUUAAAAAGAUACCGAUUGUACGGCUCGCUUCGUCUCGUGGCAUGCGAUAUUAAUGAGACUUGAAUUUUAAAAAAUGGUAACACAGAAGAGUGAAAACGUUUGGAUCCGAAGGAUGUCAUCCACACUUUCUCGACGGACGUCAUCGUCGAACAAGUAGCCAAAAAUAAUUUUAACCGGAACAAAGGGGUUAACGUUUUAUCGCGUUUAGUUGUUUAUACGGAUUUUUACACUUUACAGUUUGGAGUAAUAACGUUUCUUUGUUUUUUAGAUUCUGGCCAGUAAGAAAAAGAAGAAGAAGAAGUAGAAGAAGAAGGAGAAGAAGAAGGAGAAGAAGAAGAAGAAGAAAAGCAAAAAGAAGAUGAAGAGUAGAAAUUGUCUGUGAUAAUCCUGGGAACAAUAUGGUCUACCAGCGAACGAUCUUAAAACGAUCUUUCAACAUUAGAAGAAGAAGAAAAAGAAGAAGAAGAAGAAGAAAAAAAAAGGUCGAGAAAGAGGCAAAGGUGGAUGAGAAUAUAUGCACUCGCAUAAAGCUGGGGAAACAUAAUUGGAGUCACUUCUCUUGACAUAGAAUGAAUCUGCAAAAAUGAUUCUGGGAAGCUAUUAUUUCCAGUUCGGUUACGUUAAUAAUCCCCGACAGAAAGAAACGUAAACGAUUAGAACGAUACAGCACGAAACAACACUUUCCAGGGUCAUUUCUAGAAGAUCCAUGAUACGACGAAUUAACUUUCGAUCAAAAGAAGAAAUUUUAUCAUAUGUUCGGGAUGUUCAAUAAACUUAAUAUCAACCGAUGGACUUUUUCUCUCUCUCUCGCUCUCUCUCUCUCUCGCUCUCUCUUUCUCUCUCUUUUCACAUUGACAACUUAUGCGUAUAUGUUAGCUGCGUGCUCCAAUCGUAUGACAUAUCUUAAUUGCAUGCGACCCGACAUUGCGAUUCUACUUAGCAUUGAGCACUUUUAUUAUUUAUAAUUAUAGUAUCAUCGAAAAAGAGAGAGAGAGAGAGAGAGAGAGAGAGAGAGACAGAGAGACAGAGAGAGAGAGAGAGAGAGAGAGAGAGAGAUCGACGAGACUUCAUACUUUACGCAAUACACGCGAUAACAUAGGAAUAAUCGACGAGUCAGGAAUUAAUAAACUUAUGCAUCGCUUACUAUCGGUAUAUGUUUAUGUACAUCCUAAUAACUGCAAUCAUAUUAUUUUUCUUCUUUUCUCCUUUUUCUUCUUCUUCUUCUUCUUCUUUUUGUUUUAUUUUUUUGUUUUUUGUUCUUUUUCUUCUCUUUUUCUUUUUUUCUUUUUUUUAUUGUUUUUCUAUACUACUCAAGAAAGAUUAACUUGAAGGAAUAUUCUCGACGUAAUAUCAUAUAAUAUUAUAUAAAUGAUCAUUGUAUACUUUAUCAUUUCAAUUCGCAAAGGCGACAUUUCUGUUUCUAAGAAGAACUUUAUGUCCGUUAACAAGAAAAGAAAGAAUAAGGAGAGAAAAAAAGGAAAAAAAAAAAAGAAAAAAGAAUCAUUCCGUAUUAUUAUUUUAUCAUUAUUGUAAAAACGUAUACACACGUGUCCGAAGUCUAUAAUGUAUGAUAAUUAUUAUACGAAGAAAGAUCGAACGACGGGAUAUCGAUAAAAGCCUGUCGCUCGGUGCUAAACCGACUCGACGGGUGGCAAAAUGCAUCUGGACUAUCGCCAAUAUCAAAAAUAAGCGAAAAUUCGAAGGAUAAUAACGAUCGAUCGUGAUCACUCGAAUAUGAAGAUCCUAACCUCGUUAUAACCAUGGGAUGAUGAUGAUGAUGAUGAUGAUGAUGAUAAUAAUAAUGAUAAUAAUGAUGAUGAUGAUGAUAUCAUUUCGAAUAGACCACGUGCGUAGAAAAAAAGUGAUGAACGAGAUAUUAAAAAACAAUAAAACGUACACCUGAUUUCCUUUAACUUUGAAAAAUUUUUAAACUAUAAUUGAAAUUAUAUUAACAAAAUAAUGAAUAAUCCAAACGAAGUUCGAUCGAAGUCGAGUCAUCCUAAAUGAAUCACGUGUAUAUCUAUAUAUAUAUAUAUAGUAAGUAUAUAUAUAUAUAUACUUACUCAAAGAAAAGAUUAUGAGAGGCAGAGAGAAAGAGAGAGAGAGAGAGAGAGAAAGAGAGAAAAAGAUUAGAAACUCUUUUAAAAAUUGUCACGAUCUAUUUUGCAAUUUUCUUAUUAAAUCCAUUCAAUCUUUUCGUCCCUCCCUCGAUCAUUUUCACAGUCCGAUGACGACCAGGACCCGCUCACGCUUUUCGAGUCUAAUUUCGUAUUUUUGAAGGCGUCUCGAGGCAUGAAAAUGUGAAAAGGAAAGAAAGAGAUAGAUGGAUAGAAAGAGAGAGAAAGAGAGAGAGAGAGAGAGAGACAGACAGACAGACAGAGAACUUGUAUCCGAAAGCACGGAUCUUCCGCGAUCCGUUCUUGCUGCUUAUAAAUCAGCCACGGCGCGGAGGUUGCCUGGUACGAAGGAGAUUUGAGAUGCCCGGUGAGAGUCCGCAAGAACGAGAGAUAAAGCGAGAAAGAUAUAUAGGGUAGAGAGAGAGAAAGAGAGA